rnacentral:rRNA from 1 species
UUGAUCCUGGCUCAGAUUGAACGCUGGCGGCAGGCCUAACACAUGCAAGUCGAACGGCAGCACAGAAGAGCUUGCUCUUUGGGUGGCGAGUGGCGGACGGGUGAGUAAUGUCUGGGAAACUGCCCGAUGGAGGGGGAUAACUACUGGAAACGGUAGCUAAUACCGCAUAACGUCGCGAGACCAAAGUGGGGGACCUUCGGGCCUCACACCAUCGGAUGUGCCCAGAUGGGAUUAGCUAGUAGGUGGGGUAAUGGCUCACCUAGGCGACGAUCCCUAGCUGGUCUGAGAGGAUGACCAGCCACACUGGAACUGAGACACGGUCCAGACUCCUACGGGAGGCAGCAGUGGGGAAUAUUGCACAAUGGGCGCAAGCCUGAUGCAGCCAUGCCGCGUGUAUGAAGAAGGCCUUCGGGUUGUAAAGUACUUUCAGCGGGGAGGAAGCAGUGAGGUUAAUAACCUCGCCGAUUGACGUACCCGCAGAAGAAGACGGGCUACACAG